GGGGAAUUUUCCGCAAUGGGCGCAAGCCUGACGGAGCAACGCCGCGUGAGGGAUGAAGGCCUCUGGGCUGUAAACCUCUUUUAUCAAGGAAGAAGAUCUGACGGUACUUGAUGAAUAAGCCACGGCUAAUUCCGUGCCAGCAGCCGCGGUAAUACGGGAGUGGCAAGCGUUAUCCGGAAUUAUUGGGCGUAAAGCGUCCGCAGGCGGUCUUGAAAGUCUGUUGUUAAAGCGUGGAGCUCAACUCCAUUUCAGCAAUGGAAACUAGAAGACUAGAGUGUGGUAGGGGCAGAGGGAAUUCCCGGUGUAGCGGUGAAAUGCGUAGAUAUCGGGAAGAACACCAGUGGCGAAGGCGCUCUGCUGGGCCAUAACUGACGCUCAUGGACGAAAGCCAGGGGAGCGAAAGGGAUUAGAUACCCCUGUAGUC
rnacentral:rRNA from 1 species